rnacentral:rRNA from 1 species
GAUGAACGCUGGCGGCGUGCCUAAUACAUGCAAGUCGAACGCGAGAGGAGGGAGCUUGCUCCCUCUGAUCGAGUGGCGGACGGGUGAGUAACACGUAGGCAACCUGCCCAUCAGUCCGGGAUAACCGCGGGAAACCGUGGCUAAUACCGGAUGAUCCUCUCCACCGCGGGGUGGGGAGUUGAAAGACGGCUUCGGCUGUCGCUGAUGGAUGGGCCUGCGGCGCAUUAGCUGGUUGGCGGGGUAACGGCCCACCAAGGCAACGAUGCGUAGCCGACCUGAGAGGGUGAUCGGCCGCACUGGGACUGAGACACGGCCCAGACUCCUGCGGGAGGCAGCAGUAGGGAAUCUUCCGCAAGGGACGCAAGUCUGACGGAGCAACGCCGCGUGAGUGAAGAAGGGUUUCGGCUCGUAAAACUCUGUUGUUAAGGAAGAACGACAGGUAGAGUAACUGCUACCUGUGUGACGGUACUUAACCAGAAAGCCACGGCUAACUACGUGCCAGCCGCCGCGGUAA